rnacentral:rRNA from 1 species
CAAUAGCGUAUAUUAAAGUUGUUGCGGUUAAAAAGCUCGUAGUUGGAUUUCUGUUGAGGACGAUCGGUCUGCCCUCUGGGUGAGUAUCUGGCUCGGCCUUGGCAUCUUCUUGGAGAACGUUGCUGCACUUCACUGUGUGGUACGGUAUCCAGGACUUUUACUUUGAGGAAAUUAGAGUGUUUCAAGCAGGCGCACGCCUUGAAUACAUUAGCAUGGAAUAAUGAGAUAGGACCUCGGUUCUAUUUUGUUGGUUUCUAGAGCUGGGGUAAUGAUUAAUAGGGAUAGUUGGGGGCAUUCGUAUUUAACUGUCGGAGGUGAAAUUCUUGGAUUUGUUAAAGACGGACUACUGCGAAAGCAUUUGCCAAGGAUGUUUUCAUUG